GAAACGCGAUAGUUAAUGUGAAUUGCAGAAUUCAGUGAAUCAUCGAGUCUUUGAACGCACAUUGCGCCCAAUGGUAUUCCAUUGGGCAUGUCUGUUUGAGCGUCAGUACCCCCUCAGUGCAAACUGGUGUUGAACCCGUCUUUUGAAAAAGGACCGGUUUUAAAGUGGUAAGCUCUGCUGACCGCUAAGCUCCAACCAAAAACAUAGUAAAAUCUUGCUUGUUUAAAGGUGAAGCUGGCGUGCCGGCCUGAAAAAAAACCUAUUUUCUAAGAUUUGACCUCAGAUCAGACAAGGAUACCCGCUGAACUUAAGC
rnacentral:misc_RNA from 1 species